UUGGGAACUUUUCAAAUGAUAUGUAAAUGAAGAGAAGUAGGGGACAGAACAAAAAGUGUCAUUUCGCGCGCGCGCCCCCCUUCCCCCCAUUUAGAUCCUAGUAUACUGAAAAUGUUGAAAAUAACAUAACUGACUCUUGAGACAGCGCUGAGUGAAGUGUGUUUGAAUGGAUUACAGGAGAAUGUGCUGGGAGAAUCUCUUGUCCUGAUUCUGAAUAAUCAGAUGUCACCUGCUCUGGAAUUUCACUUGACACUUUCACUGUCAUGUAUUCUCUCUCUGUGAUUUGGAUAUUAGUUCAGUUUGAUAUGAUGGAGCUCAGAUCUAUUGGAGAAUUUCAGACAAAUGACCGUUUGCUAAAGUGGUCAUUCCUCACUUCAGCUUUGCUUUUUCCCCAUCCCUCCAUGAUGACAUGGAGAAAGUUCAAGUGCAUUUCUGUCAACAUGAGAGAACUCUCCAAUUUACUGGACACGCUAACAAAGAAACAGCAGUGAUUUUAAAAUUUCCACUUGGAAAUAGUAAACAACAGCAGAACCCCGUCUAACUGAAGGAAGUACAUAUGAUCACAGUGUAGUUGAAUUGUUGAAGUCAACAUUGUCUCUCAUGAUCUGGGGAGAAAAUUCCAUCGUAAGUGAUUUUGAACUAGGCAGAAUGCCCAUGUAUUUGGUUCCCAAAUCAUGUGUAACCCAGGCCCUACAAAAGAUCUCUCCUAGUUAACCCUAUGUGAUGAGGAAUCCUGCCCUUCGUGACGCAGAUGUUGAGGAAAUAGAAGUGGGUUUUUUGUUGAAUUUAUCCUUUGUAUGUGCUAAAAUGUGUAUAAAAUCAGUAUUGGCAAUCUAAUAGCUGCAGAAAAAUGGCUAUUUUUGAAUAGAAUCUCCAGCUCUGGUAACUAACGGAGAUUCUGAUCCAGCCCUGUAUCCAGUCCCUUGCCUGAAACUGUGCCACCAAAUUAAAGAAAAGCUGGGCAUGUUUUGGGGAGCCAUUCCUCACUAACA